rnacentral:rRNA from 4 species
AAUUUGUUUCUAUGCCUAGAUUUAUACCCGAACCCUUAUCGAAUUCGAGUGUCCUCGUCUAGGUAGCCACACAUACUAGUUUUUCUGGGAACCAUGGCUUCUUAAAGUUUUAAUUAUGUGCAAAUAAAAAGUUUGC